rfam:Bipolaris zeicola 26-R-13 unplaced genomic scaffold scaffold_668, whole genome shotgun sequence.
UAUGUAGUAGACUAAUGGUAAGUCAUAAAUUUUUGGUAUUUACUUAUGGGUGUUCGAAUCACCCCUACAUAA